rnacentral:rRNA from 1 species
GACGUAGGGCGCGAGCGUUGUCCGGAUUUAUUGGGCGUAAAGAGCUCGUAGGCGGUUUGUCGCGUCUGCUGUGAAAACUCGGGGCUUAACCCCGGGCCUGCAGUGGGUACGGGCAGACUAGAGUGCGGUAGGGGAGACUGGAAUUCCUGGUGUAGCGGUGAAAUGCGCAGAUAUCAGGAGGAACACCGGUGGCGAAGGCGGGUCCCUGGACAACGACUGACACUGAGGCACGAAAGCUAGGGGAGCAAACAGG